rnacentral:rRNA from 1 species
UACGGAGGGUGCUAGCGUUGUUCGGAAUCACUGGGCGUAAAGGGCGCGUAGGCGGCCUGUGCAAGUCAGUUGUGAAAUCUCCGGGCUUAACUCGGAACGGUCAACUGAUACUGCUCGGCUAGAGUGCGGAAGGGGCAACUGGAAUUCUUGGUGUAGCGGUGAAAUGCGUAGAUAUCAAGAGGAACACCUGCGGCGAAGGCGGGUUGCUGGGCCGACACUGACGCUGAAGUGCGAAAGCUAGGGGAGCGAACGGG